UGGGAUAAUCCCGCGAAAGCGGGACUAAUACCGGAUGUGACAGUUGGGAGGCAUCUCCUGGUUGUUAAAGUUGGGGACCGCAAGGCCUGACGCUUCACGAUGAACCCGCGGCCUAUCAGCUAGUUGGCGAGGUAACGGCUCACCAAGGCUAAGACGGGUAGCUGGUCUGAGAGGACGACCAGCCACACUGGAACUGAGACACGGUCCAGACACCUACGGGUGGCAGCAGUCGAGAAUUUUUCACAAUGGGGGAAACCCUGAUGGAGCGACGCCGCGUGGGGGAUGAAUGGCUUCGGCCCGUAAACCCCUGUCAUUUGCGAGCAAGGCGCAUUAUUUAAAAGAUGAUGUGUUGAUAGUAGCGAAAGAGGAAGGGACGGCUAACUUUGUGCCAGCAGCCGCGGUAAUACAGAGGUCCCGAGCGUUGUUCGGAUUCACUGGGCGUAAAGGGUGCGUAGGUGGUGGGGUAAGUCGGAUGUGAAAUCUCGGAGCUCAACUCCGAA
rnacentral:rRNA from 1 species